rnacentral:rRNA from 1 species
CAUGCAGGCGGUCGGACGCGUUUCCAGUGACAGCGGGUGGCUUACCUACCCGAGUAUUGGAAAGACGGUUUGACUUGAGGACUCGAGAGGGACACGGAAUUCCGGGUGGAGUGGUGAAAUGCGUAGAGAUCCGGAGGAACAUCGAAGGCGAAGGCAGUGUCCUGGCGAGUGACUGACGCUGAGGUGCGAAAGCCAGGGGAGCGAACGGGAUUAGAUACCCCGGUAGUCCUGGCCGUAAACGAUGACCACCAGGUGUGGGAGGUAUCGACCCCUUCUGUGCCGGAGUUAACACACUAAGUGGUCCGCCUGGGGAGUACGGUCGCAAGAUUAAA